UGAAGUGGAACACCUAAAGUUUUCCAUGCAUAAACAAAACAGGUGUUUGAGGAUAAAAAUUGUUUUCAAUACAAGCAUAGGAGACAAGGACGAAAUCAUAGCACUUGACGGCACACACAAUUCCAGUUUAAGACCACAGAGACAAAAACAUGAAGCAUCUGUAUAGUCUAUCAUUUCUGUUGGGAAUACUACUUCUGAAAGUACAGGCAGAAGGGUACUGUGGAGCAACUCCAAAAUGCCGAAUGGCUUGCCCUGGAAAUGACUACGAGAGGGAUGAAAAUGGUUGUGCAAUUUGCAAAUGCAAGCCAUUCGUGGAAGAAAUGAGGUCACACCCAGAGGAAGGUCACCAACUACUCUAAUGACAAAAGGGUGAAAUAUCUUCUGCAGCAUGAAAUUACUACUCCAAUUUUUCUUCCCACAAGUAUUACUUCCAACUGUAUUCUGAUUGUUUGAUCAAAAAAGUGGAGAGUGGAUGUAACUACCUUACCGGUAUGUCCUUAAUCCAAAAAUUUUUCACAGAGCUAAAAAUGGUGUCAAAAUGCUUACAAGUGUAAACACUCUUAGGAUCAUAAAUCUAAUGAUAUUUGGCCAAUGGAUUUUGGGCAUGAAAAUGUUCAACUAAAUGGUUUGAUCAUCUGAAAAUCAGACUUUACUUGUAUCAUUGGAAAAUCACCCAUUUGUGGUAAUUUAUGGAAUGGAAAUCUGAAAAGGAUGUUUUUGAAAAAAAUUUAUCGGCGCUCCAAGAAAGGUGUAUUAGUUUAUUUGUAUAAUCAUCAGUCACCAACCACGUUCGUGUACAAAGGUUCAUGUUUGUCCAAUAAUAAUAAUAAUAAUACGAGUCUUAUAUAGCGCAGUAUCCAACCAUUAACUGGCCGCUCAAAGCACUUGAUAGGCCUCUUUAAAAAGCAAAUGUUUCAGUUGUCCCUUGAAAGAUAACAGAG